GGAAAACCAUGAUGGGAAGUACAGUGUGUGGAGACGGAACUUGAUUAAAGCCAAUCAGUAGCAUCUAAGCAGAACCUUAAGAAGCAUGAAGACUGUCUGAAUCAGGAAUGAAAAGGACAUCAGUGCUCCUGGUUCUCUGGCCUUCAGACUUUGACUGAAUUAUACCACCGGCUUUCCUGAUUUCCCAGGUCACAGACAGCAGAUCAUGGGACUUCUCAGCUUCCAUAAUCAAGCCAAACUUUAUCCUGGAUUUAGGUACAAUAUACAUGAGAUAUUCUCUGCCUACUGCUUUGGAUACAGAAGUCAACGCCCUGCACUCUUCUAAAGAUCUAAAAU
rnacentral:lncRNA from 1 species